GUACAAUUCAAACCUAAAACCAACUAUUCACCAUACUAAACAGGGUUUGAUUUUAUUUCAAGUUUAUGAUGUUGUUUUAUGAUUUCAGAUCUCAACGAUUUUAUAUGAAUUUUAGUUGAAGCUAAACCUUGUACUACUUUGUAAGUUAACAAGUAAAUACAGUAAACAUACAUAGUUUAAUACCAUGCGCUUAAUUUUCCGGGGUUAACAAUAUAUGUUGUACUUUAAAACUCUAAUAAAACAAUCGUAUAAAAUUCGAAAGGUGUUUGGACUGUUACCAAAUACCUGGUUUAUAAAGUCCUAUUCAGUGUGUUUUACUAGUUUGCGCAUGCGUUUUCUAUUUCGGGAGUGGUUCACAGGAUCAACAAGUAAAAGAAUUCGUCAUAAAAAUAUCGCAAUAGACGAAGACAAAUUGAAAAUGGAAGGACAAGGAAAGAAGUCAGGAGGCAGUUGUGCCAUGGCGUUUACAUUGAUUUUCAUCGGGGCGGCAGUCGGAUGUGGUAUUGCUGGACUCAUAACUAGCAGCUGGAUGGUGGCCGACAGAAAUGGGACACAACUAAAUCUCGGAUUGUGGGAAAGUUGUCCAAAAGGUACAAAUUGGUUCGGUGGGGCAGAACCAGAACCGGAGCCAGAAAAUACAAAUGUGACAACCCCAGAGCCAGGACCUGAGCCGGAAGCUAUACCAGAGCCAUUUGAUGGAUCAUGUGAUGUUUUCAUUGUAGAGCAAUUUGACAGAUUGGACCCCUGGAUAAUCACCUGUACCAUCAUUUCAACAGUGGGAGUUGUAUUCGCUCUUCUUGCCUUUUUCAUCGCCAUUGGAACACUAUGUUUCGCUGGUAACAAACACCUGCAUAUAUUCCUCAUGAUUGUGGCACUUUUUGCAGGUUUGCUUUUGUUUGUUGCGGUUGCCCUUUAUGGGGCUAAUGCCAAUCCUACUACGGGCGCUUACAGUUGGGCUUUAUCUACUGGAGCCACCAGUAUGAACUUUGGCUACUCCUACUUCCUUAUGAUUACCGCAUGUUUCACUAGCAUCAUUGGAGGUAUCUGUACACAGCUUUUGAUACAGUCCAGAUUCGAUUAAAUGGAACUCAGUGCUAAUGGGAGUGCUGAUAGAACACUGAAUAAAUCUGAUCUGAUGAACAUGUAAAAUACAAUAGAAGGGGAUUAUCAUUGAACGACUAUAACAACUAUACAAUCGUUGUUUCUUCAGAGGAAUUGUACACAUUCUAGCGUUGGUCCUUCAGGAGAGUUAACUUCAAAAGAGUGUUGGUCACUUUGAAGGACUAACUAUACCUAUACUAGCUAUAGAACUUCUUUCAUAAUAAUUUUACCUUGCAAAGUAUUAGUUCUUCAGAAGAACUAAAGAAAAGUAACAAUGAGAUUAUAAAAAAGUCUGGACAUUUUAAUAAACAGUUUUUGUUUAAGCAUUAAAAACCAAGUGAAUUAUAUGCAAACACUACAAUGAAUGUGGUAUGUCGUUCAGCGAACAGUGAUUUUUUAAAGAAAGUGUUAUACUUUAAGUGUUAAGUGUUAUACUUUCCAACUUUUACAAAUGAGUUUAUAUUUUAACACGGAAUUAAGUAUUAUAGGCGUUUUUAUCUAAGAAGCGUGUAUGAAUCAUGCACAAUGAUUCAUGUGAAAACUGUUAGGUGGUUGGAUGUAUGAAUGUAUAAAGGAGAAGUAUGUGUAUAUAUAUUUAAGGUGAAGUCCUAUUGACUGAAAAACCUCAAUGAUCUACUUUAUUUUAUAGUAUGUACAAAAUGGUACUUUGAUAACUAUUUCUUUCUAUAAAAUGAUAAAAUAUUCGUAGUGUUAACUUAGUAGUAACAUCCCAAUCAAUCUUUUAAUAACAGAAGAUGUGAAUUUGAGACAUACCAGGUAUUGGACAAAUAUAUUAAAAAAUAUAUGACAUCGUGCUUCGUGGAUGAUGUGUGUUAUACUUUAUAAAUAAAAAAUCGACGUUUCUUCCAAAUGUUAUUUGUUUUGUUUGGAACGUUAUGGCAUGUCGUAUGUUAAAUCAAACAAACUAUGUCGUAAAAUUAAUACACAUGUAGCCUUUAUGUGAAUACUUUAAGUGAAUACUUGACGAUCAAAAAGUAAGUGUUGUCCUGUUGUUCCCCAAACAUGUUUACCAUUCACCAGUUUAAUAGACGAAAGUAAUAGACCGUGAGUCAAACACAUUGACACAAGAUUUGAUGAACGAGUGAAUUCAGAUCCUCAAUUACGCCAAAUAAUUUU
rnacentral:misc_RNA from 1 species